rnacentral:rRNA from 1 species
CGAAGGUGGCAAGCGUUACUCGGAAUUACUAGGCGUAAAGGGCAGGUAGGUGGUUUGGUAAGUCUAUUGUGAAAGCUCCCGGCUUAACUGGGAGAGGUCAAUGGAUACUGCUGAACUUGAGUAUAGGAGAGGGUACUGGAAUUCCCGGUGUAGCGGUGAAAUGCGCAGAGAUCGGGAGGAACACCAAUGGCGAAAGCAGGUACCUGGACUAUUACUGACACUAAGCUGCGAAAGCUAGGGGAGCAAACAGGAUUAGAUACCCUGGUAGUCCUAGCUGUAAACGAUGCACAUUAGACGUGAGGGGUAUCGACCCCCUUCGUGUCGACGCUAACGCAUUAAAUGUGCCGCCUGGGGAGUACGGCCGCAAGGUUG